rnacentral:misc_RNA from 2 species
UCAUCUCAAUCCCCUUAGUUUUGAUUAACUAUUGGGAUUGGAUUUGGGGGCUGCUGGCUUCGUUCAGAGGUCGGCUCUCCUUGAAUGCAUUAGUGGGCAUCUGGCUCGCGUUGCUGGUGUGAUAGUUUCAUUCAUCAUCGGCGGCGCUUGUCUAAUGGGUCUGCUUUCGAACCGUCUUCUCAACGGAGACAAAUACUUGACAU